GAUGAACGCUAGCGGCAGGCCUAACACAUGCAAGUCGAGGGGUAGAAGGAGCUUGCUCCUUUGAGACCGGCGCACGGGUGCGUAACGCGUAUGCAAUCUACCUUGUACAGGGGAAUAGCCCAGAGAAAUUUGGAUUAAUGCCCCAUAGUAUAUAACCUUCGCAUGUUGGUUAUAUUAAAGUUCCAACGGUACAAGAUGAGCAUGCGUCCCAUUAGUUAGUUGGUAAGGUAACGGCUUACCAAGACGAUGAUGGGUAGGGGUCCUGAGAGGGAGAUCCCCCACACUGGUACUGGGACACGGACCAGAGUGCUACGGGCGGCAGCAGUGAGGAAUAUUGGUCAAUGGUAGCAAGCCUGAACCAGCCAUGCCGCGUGCAGGAAGACGGUCCUAUGGAUUGUAAACUGCUUUUAUACAGGAAGAAACCCUCCCGCGUGUGGGAGCUUGACGGUACUGGAGGAAUAAGGAUCGGCUAACUCCGUG
rnacentral:rRNA from 1 species